CACGUAGGGGGCGAGCGUUGUCCGGAUUUAUUGGGCGUAAAGAGCUCGUAGGCGGCUCGGUAAGUCAGGUGUGAAAACUCUAGGCUCAACCUAGAGACGCCACCUGAUACUGCCGUGGCUAGAGUCCGGUAGGGGAGCAUGGAAUUCCUGGUGUAGCGGUGAAAUGCGCAGAUAUCAGGAGGAACACCGGUGGCGAAGGCGGGUCUCUGGGCCGAUACUGACGCUGAGGAGCGAAAGCGUGGGGAGCAAACAGG
rnacentral:rRNA from 1 species